rnacentral:lncRNA from 1 species
CAUUUUAGCAUUCUGGAACUGCCCUCUGUGGUUCCUUGAAGACAGAUGGGAAGAAAACUGCCUUUCAGGACUAUAUUUGUCACUGUCAACGUUAAAAGCUUACACACUAGGUCAGUUCAAGAAACUGAGAACUCCACUGAAAGUGUCCUGCUGCCUUCCUGCUAGAACAUGAGGCUGGCAUGAGAAUAUGAGUGCCAACUUUGCAAUGGUGACAGAAGUUAAAUGGAAGCCAGAGAUGGAGCUUGUAAUUCUGUUAAGCACAUUGGAAGCUUCAAAAAGUGUUAAAUCAAUCAAUAAAAACAACAGGACUUUAAUCUAAUUUCAGCACGAUAUCAUUCACUGUCUUUUUUCCUUCAGAGAGCCUCCAUCUAAAAUCGUCAUCUUCCCUAAAGUUGCUUUUAAAAAUCUUUGUGACUUGUCAAUACAUUGUUACUUAGC